CCACCACAUCCUUGUCAUAUUUGCCCUACUGUCCAAAAUUUCUCCAUAGAUUCAAGAGACCUAUGGCUGGUCAAGAUCAUUAAUCUGGCCAGUAUGUCCUAAAGUCCUAAAAUAUUGUUGAAGAAGAGAGAUCUUGACUCUGAGGAGAAUCCAUAAGAACAUGUCCACAGAUUGAAGAAGAAUCCAGGUAUAAUCAUUCAUUUAUUCCAAAACUAUAUACCUUGAU
rnacentral:misc_RNA from 1 species